AUGCUCAACUGCGAGCUGAUCGCGUCACAUGAGAGUAGAGUCCAGGCCGUCGAGGAGUUGAAUGCCUCGCUGCAGAUGAAGAAGGAUCAGCUCAUCGACGACAAGGCUGAUCUCUGUGAUAAGAUGCUUAGGCCGAACGAGCAGAAGGAUCAACUCGUCCAUGAGAUGGAUCAAAUGAACAAGGAGACAAAGCUCCCGAGGACCGAGAGGAAUCAGCCGAAGCGGAGAAAGCCCAUUUCAAAAGAGAGGGGGAGCAAUAGGAACAAGCUACACCACAUGAAGCUAGUCCUUCAAAGAGAGAUGUCAUGUAGGUAG
rnacentral:rRNA from 1 species